rnacentral:misc_RNA from 1 species
AAGUCGUAACAAGGUUUCCGUAGGUGAACCUGCGGAAGGAUCAUUACCAGUGAAGUGCCUGCGCCCUCGUGGCCAGGUGCCCACCCACCCGUGUUUACAUACUCUUGUUGCUUUGGCAGGCCGUGGCCUCCACUGCGGGUUCUGCUCGUACGUGCCUGCCAGAGGACCAAACUCUGAAUGUUAGUGAUGUCUGAGUACUAUACAAUAGUUAAAA